rnacentral:sRNA from 1 species
AAACCAAAGAAAAUAUAAACAAAGAAGCAGACAGACAGAUGGAAAAACUGUAUGAAUAAGAAAAGGGAGCUCAGGAGUGGGAAGUAAAAGAGACCAACCAUGCAAUGCUGACCACAGCAACAUAGCCAUGGACAGGAGCUGACACAAGGAAAAAUGAAGUCAAGUGAUGAGUGACAAGACAGAGGAGGUCAGAAGAGUCAUCAAGUUCUUCAGAUACUAUGAUUGAUGGUGGACGCCAGCUCAAACGGACAAAGCGACUAGAAACCAAGACAGGGACCACAUCUCUGGGAGCAGAAGGGAGGAUGCUGGAGCUUGGGAUGG